rnacentral:rRNA from 1 species
AUUGAACGCUGGCGGCAGGCCUAACACAUGCAAGUCGAGCGGAUGAAGGGAGCUUGCUCCUGGAUUCAGCGGCGGACGGGUGAGUAAUGCCUAGGAAUCUGCCUGGUAGUGGGGGAUAACGUCCGGAAACGGGCGCUAAUACCGCAUACGUCCUGAGGGUGAAAGUGGGGGAUCUUCGGACCUCACGCUAUCAGAUGAGCCUAGGUCGGAUUAGCUAGUUGGUGGGGUAAAGGCCUACCAAGGCGACGAUCCGUAGCUGGUCUGAGAGGAUGAUCGGACACAUUGGAACUGAGACACGGUCCAGACUCCUACGGGAGGCAGCAGUGGGGAAUAUUGGACAAUGGGCGAAAGCCUGAUCCAGCCAUGCCGCGUGUGUGAAGAAGGUCUUCGGAUUGUAAAGCACUUUAAGUUGGGAGGAAGGGCAGUAAGUUAAAACCUUGCUGUUUUGACGUUACCAAAAGAAUAAGCACCGGCUAACUUCGUG